UACGUAGGUGGCGAGCGUUGUCCGGAAUUACUGGGUGUAAAGGGCGCGUAGACGGGUAGAUAAGUUAGAUGUGAAAUACCGGAGCUUAACUCCGGGGCUGCAUUUAAAACUGUUUAUCUUGAGUGCAGGAGAGGGAAGCGGAAUUCCUAGUGUAGCGGUGAAAUGCGUAGAUAUCAGGAGGAACACCGGUGGCGAAGGCGGCCUGCUGGACUGUAACUGACGUUGAGGCUCGAAAGCGUGGGGAGCAA
rnacentral:rRNA from 1 species